rnacentral:rRNA from 1 species
GAUGAACGCUAGCGGGAGGCUUAACACAUGCAAGUCGUGGGGCAGCAUAAUGUAGCAAUACGUUGAUGGCGACCGGCAGACGGGUGAGUAACGCGUAUGUAACCUACCCUGUACAGGGGGAUAACCCGGAGAAAUUCGGACUAAUAUCCCAUAGAAAUAUUGGAAGGCAUCUUUUGAUAUUUAAAGUUCCGGCGGUACGGGAUGGGCAUGCGUAACAUUAGCUAGUUGGUAAGGUAACGGCUUACCAAGGCUUUGAUGUUUAGGGGUCCUGAGAGGGUGAUCCCCCACACUGGUACUGAGACACGGACCAGACUCCUACGGGUGGCUG